rnacentral:rRNA from 1 species
UAAGGAAUAUUGGUCAAUGGACGCAAGUCUGAACCAGCCAUGCCGCGUGAAGGAUGAAGGUCCUCUGGAUUGGAAACUUCUUUUAUCUGGGACGAAAACGGGAUUUUUAUCUCAAUUGACGGUACCAGAGGAAUAAGCACCGGCUAACUCCGUGCCAGCAGCCGCGGUAAUACGGAGGGUGCGAGCGUUAUCCGGAUUUACUGGGUUUAAAGGGUGCGUAGGUGGGCUUAUAAGUCAGUGGUGAAAUCUCCGAGCUUAACUUGGAAACUGCCGUUGAUACUAUAGGUCUUGAAUUAUCUGGAUGUGAGCGGAAUAGGGCAUGUGGCAGUGAAAUGCAUAGAUAUGACAUAGAACACCAAUUGCGAAGUCAGCGUACUACAUAUAAAUUGACGCUGAGGCACGAAAGCGUGGGGAUCAAACA